GGGGGCGAAAUGGUCUCGACGGGGAUAGUGGAGUGUGGGUUGCGUGCCGAGAUCGCCAUGAGCUCGUAAAAACUAUGGCAAAUCAAGAAGUGUCGACGAACCAGUCGCACUGGCUGCUUAACUAGCAGCUCGUUCUCCGCGGUUUGAGCCUUCAGGGGCUGCGUGAGAGCGUCAUUCACUGGAGGAUAGCCGGCGAUGAGUGUCUCGGCGCCGCCGGUGAAAUCAAGGGGCGGGCCCUUCGCGAUCCGGUCCGCGGGGAGCGCGCGGGGUGGGACCAAAACUGCAGACUACGCACGUAGAGACCUGCAUGGAUCUGUCUUCGGACGCGGGUUCGAUUCCCGCCGCCUCCACCA
rnacentral:tmRNA from 1 species